rnacentral:pre_miRNA from 1 species
AUCACUUGGGGAGCUUGUUAAAAUGCAGAUUCUGAGUCAGCUGGUCUGGGUAGGACCUGAGAUCUGCAUUUUAACAAGCUCCCAGGUGAUGUCAG